rnacentral:lncRNA from 1 species
ACUUGAGGUUAAAUAUAUGAACACUGAGUUUUUCAGAAGCAAUAUGAACACUGAAUUUAAGGUUUGACUUGAAUAUGAAAACUGAGUUUUUAGGCAACGUGUUAAUGUUUUUUAAGGGUAAUCAACAAUAUGGAACUGAAGUGAUUCUCUGAACUGAUUAGAAAAAACACCCAAGUCAGAAAAUCAAACGAAGUCUUGUCUUUUGUUAUGCUACUUGUUUAUUUAACCAUGAUGUUUUUUGGUUACUGGUGCUGUCAACAUAACUCAUGCAAGUGACUAAACCUUUAUAUAUAAAAUUUUAGAAAACUGUCACUAUUUUUUUUUGUGAUACAAAGAAAUAGAGGUUUCUGUGUUUAGAAUUUGUUGGUAAUGUGUUGAUUUCUUGUGUAGGAAUAUUACUACAAGAGGCAUCAUGUGCCAGCAUUUGGGAGCUGGGAUUGGAAUGAUAAUCUUCCCUUCACUCAGUGCUUUGAGUCUGCAAGACAAGCUGGUUUGUUAAGAUAUAGUUAUUCUGAGUCUGAAGAUAGAGACCUUUAUGUCACUGGGGACUUGUAUGAGAAUGAUGUUGUCACACCUGCU